AUGUCAUCCACUUUACUCUCCUGCUUCCCCCGAACCCAGCAAAGCAACAGCAAACCCUGAAGCAGAGCAAACCUGAAGCACACCUACUCGAACCCUCCUCUGAUUUCGAUUCCUCCCUCGACAUAGUGGAAUUGGGUUGAGGUGUUGAUCGGAAAAUCACUGCCACUCUACUACUAGAGCAAUCAGCAACAGCAAACCCGAAGCUCGCAGAUCAGAACGGAACCAAAGCAGCUGGGGUUGAACUCUCCUUCUGAUCGAAAAAUCUCCCCGGAAUCCCCCGCCACUCUACAGUCGGAAAUUGCUUGUCUUUGUUUAUAUCAUGUAUGUGCUCUUGGUAUAAAAAAAUGGAACGGAGUUAUGCUUCUGUUAAUUCCUAGGUGACCAAGAGUGGCAAAAGGAAAUGGACUCUGGCUGAGGAUGCAAUACUUAUAUCUUGCAUGAUUGAUCUAAGGAGUAUGGGCACCUACAAUACCGACACUAAGUUUAAGUCUUGCUACUUGGCAGAACUUGAGAAAAUGCUUUUGGAAAAGCUCCCAAAUUGCGAUAUGAAUGCGAGACCUCGCAUUGAAUCUCGACCGAAGACACUGAAAAAGGAAUGGGCUAUCGUGUAUGAUAUGAUGCUAAAUACAUCAGGCUUUAGAUGAGAUUCAACAAGGAAGAUGGUAACAAUGAAAGACGAUGUUUGGGAGGCUUAUGUUGUGACUCACAAAGAAGCCGCUCCAUUUAGAUUGAAAAAAUUUCCCCAUUUCGAAUAAUUAUCUUUGAUAUAUGCGAAGGAUCGAGCUACUAGAAAGGAUGCUCAAGCUGUUGAAUAUAUUCUCAAAGAGCUGGAGAUUGAAGAUUUGACUGGAGCAGCCGAAGAAGCUGAAGUGAAUCAUUCAAAUCAAAAUGAAUCUGCCAAUGCGAAUAUCCCCACAUCAAGAGACGUUUCUUGUGCUCAUCUACCACCUAGAAAGGAAUCGGGAAGUGGUUCUUCAGGAAGAAAGAGGAAAAAAAUGAAGUUGACUUCUCAACAAUUUCUGAAGCCGUGAAUUCUAUGGCAGCCGACAUGAAAGAUGCUUGUUUGAUGCUCUCAAAGAGUGUUCACUUUGACAUCGUCCAAGAGAAGUUCCUUGAACUUCCAGGAGCUCUUCGUAGUGUUGAUGGCCUUACUUUAGCGAAGUGCGCAUGGCUAUUCGAAAGUUCGAAAACCAUCCAAAUGAAGUCUUGCUAUUUUUUGGUACCGAUCUUGAAGACCGCUUGGAAAUGGUUCAGGAUUUCCUUGCAAAUCAGUAAAUGAGGACUACAAGUUAAACUUCUUUGUGGAGUUUUUUUAGGCUUUUGCUGUUAAGGUAAAAAUGAAAUUGCUCUAAUGCUGAAAUAGUAGUUUGGUUCGUUUGUGCAAUAAUAAUAGCCGUGAACGUGAUUUGGUAUUUAUAUUUUAGCAGCUAUUUGUUGAGUGUUGUUUUGGUAUUUAUAUUUUGGCAGCUAUCUUUUGAGUGGUGCUAUAAUGGUGUAAUGGAAGAAGCCAUGAAGUUUGUUUAGUGCCACUGCACCUUUUUGUUGGUGAAAGAAUGAAAUACAAUUUGCAGGGGAUGUUUUGUUCAAAGUAUGAAGCACCGCGAUGUACCAGGUUGGUGGUGUUGCCAGAAGUAUGAUUAGUAUAGCUAUUAUAACUUUUGAAAUGUACACAAAUAUGCAGAAAUGACUAAAUGCUUUGUACACUUAUAGCCCCUAACCAUUAAUUGUUACUGUUAAGUUGUAUAUUAGUUAUGGUGUAAACAUAGUUACAAGUUUGUAUAUAAGAUUCUAUGGUUAAUUUUAGUGUCGUUGCGUUAUUGAAAAUAUGUUUUAAGCAAAGUAUUUA